GGUUGGAAGAAAAAAAAAAUGCUACUUUGAUUGAGCGGGAGACAGAGAACGGGUAAAAAGUGGGUAAAAUGCCAAGCUCUGGAGCGGGUAUUGUUCUUCUUCUUCUUCUUCACCGCCCCCGUGCUCGGAUACAAGCUCCCCAAACCCGAAAAUUCAUUGAGGUAGAAAGGAGUCGAGGUACCUCCCUCUGGUACGCUCCCCAAAGCCAUAUCACCGAUCAUGGGAUUGCUUAAUCCUAUUCUCGCCUCCGCCGAAAAACCAAGAUGGAUUCACAAAAACACAAGAUUGGGAGGUCAUCAACCAAGCCUGGAGCUGAUUCCAAGCAGAAAUUUGUUCACACUGUCACAAAAACUGAGGUGGAGGGCCCCACGGCAGCAGCCUUGUCUCUUUGGCAUGGGGGGGGGGCACGGCAGCAGUCUCCUUUUCUUUUUCGUCUCCACCGUGUCCAACUGGGGAUCUAACAGCGCGUGCAUAACAGGCGGCGUUCGUCUAACGCCUGACCCAAAAAAAGGUAAAACCGAUUUUACUGCAGGUUGGAGCACAUGGCAAGCACGAGCGAUGCCCAUUUCCUCCUAGUUGCUUCGCCGCGAAAAGGGCAGAUGGAAAUUGCGGUGAACUCUAGAGUCGGAUCUGAAACUCUUUUUUGGUCUCUGAGAAGGUUAAAUCUCAAGUGGCUCCCAACCGAGUAGAUCAAAUCUAUCGCAGUUGGGAAUCAUCGGUUGUUUAUGGUGCGUUGCUGAAAAUUGAAUUUAGAUUCUCACACCCAAAUAAGGGGCUCCGAGCAGCAAUCAAAAUCAAGGGGGAAGUGAGCUGCUUCAGCUGUUGUGAUGAAGAUGAUAGGCAUAAAGCAACUGACAAUGGAGGUGCUUACAUGAUGAACCUGCAAUCAAGAAGUAGCCAAAUAUGGGGAUUACAGAUUGACCCGAAUGGAAUUUCAAUGUCUUUCACCUGGAAUCCCCCUAUCGAGCAAGGUCAUAAUAUAUCUGUUGCGUAUUUGAACGAUGCUGACCUUGACAUAUGGUUUCUUCCAACUUAUUUUGCUGAACGUGCUAGGUCACAUGAGGAAGCACAAGAUUAUGUUGGCUUACUUGAUUGAACCAUUUCUAUGUGUGGUCUUAAGCGGUUUCACCGGAGGUUCCAACGCUGCUCUCAGGCAACAACCGAUUUAUAUAAUUUGUUCCAUCAUUAUUCAAACUACAUUGGUUCCACGGCUAACUAUUAUUAUGAUGUAGAUAUUCAUCCCAUUACACGAUGACAUUGAUGAUCAUUAGUUUCUGUUGGUAAUUAACCUUGGCGGGAAUACAUCAGAGGUUGGGGACUGCCUACCCGAUGCAAGCAUGCCAAGACAGCUGUAAGUUAUAUUUUUGAAGCACAUUGGUGAGGCAUAAGAAUAUGACGAAACACCCUGAACAUCAUACUGCUAGCAAUAAAAAUUUGUUUUAACACUGGGGAAUAUAUUUGACAGAAGAAUCUGCUGCAAACAAUUUUUCAAAAUGAAAUGACAAGGGCAAGAGAUGUGAUGUUA